AUUGAACGCUGGCGGCAGGCCUAACACAUGCAAGUCGAGCGGGGUUUUCGGACCUAGCGGCGGACGGGUGAGUAAUGCGUAGGAAGCUACCCGAUAGAGGGGGAUACCAGUUGGAAACGACUGUUAAUACCGCAUAAAGUCUACGGACCAAAGUGUGGGACCUUCGGGCCACAUGCUAUCGGAUGCGCCUACGUGGGAUUAGCUAGUUGGUGAGGUAAUGGCUCACCAAGGCGACGAUCUCUAGCUGGUUUGAGAGGAUGAUCAGCCACACUGGAACUGAGACACGGUCCAGACUCCUACGGGAGGCAGCAGUGGGGAAUUUCCGCAAUGGCGAAGCCUGACGAGCAAUACCGCGUGAGGG
rnacentral:rRNA from 1 species